rnacentral:lncRNA from 1 species
CCCGGUUUUCGCCUUUCACGCGAUUAAACCGUAAUUAUCCUUUGAAACUGACCGGUCUAAGCUAAGGCUAAAUUAAAGACCCGUUAGGAUUCUAAUAGGUUGUUAUAAACCUUCAUUCCAGAAUAGGAGACCAGUAAAAGAUACUUGCAUUUGUUUGAUUGAGGUUAUUACUUGCUCAGCUUAAUGACCAUGAUCUACACGAAAUAGGCUGGCCACUCCUUAAGCAUCGUUAGAGUCUCGCAAGCUUGGGAUGCCAUAUCUGUUGAACAAUAUUUAUAUUUUUAUUUUGAUCCCCUGUGGAUUUAUUUCGACUAUUCGUGAUACUUGGAUAUUACAAUCGAUGGUUGAAAUAUAAUCUAUCAUUAUGCU